rnacentral:rRNA from 1 species
UACAGAGGGGGCAAGCGUUGUUCGGAAUUACUGGGCGUAAAGGGCGCGUAGGCGGGCUAUAAAGUCAGGGGUGAAAUCCUCCGGCUUAACUGGAGAACUGCCUUUGAUACUGAUGGUCUCGAGUAAGGUAGGGGCAUGCGGAACUGAUGGUGGAGCGGUGAAAUGUGUUGAUAUCAUCAGGAACUCCGGUGGCGAAGGCGGCAUGCUGGACCUUCACUGACGCUGAGGCGCGAAAGCUAGGGGAGCGAACGGG